rnacentral:rRNA from 1 species
AGAGUUUGAUCAUGGCUCAGAUUGAACGCUGGCUGGAAUGCUUUACACAUGCAAGUCGAGCGGCAGCGCGGGGCAACCUGGCGGCGAGCGGCGAACGGGUGAGUAACACAUCGGAACAUACCCAGUCGUGGGGGAUAACACUUCGAAAGAAGUGCUAAUACCUGCAUACGUCCUGAGGGAGAAAGCGGGGGAGUCUUCGGACCUCGCGCGAUUGGAGUGGCCGAUGUCAGAUUAGCUAGUUGGUGGGGUAAAGGCCUACCAAGGCGACGAUCUGUAGCUGGUCUGAGAGGACGACCAGCCACACUGGGACUGAGACACGGCCCAGACUCCUACGGGAGGCAGCAGUGGGGAAUUUUGGACAAUGGGGGCAACCCUGAUCCAGCCAUUCCGCGUGAGUGAAGAAGGCCUUCGGGUUGUAAAGCUCUUUCGGCAGGAACGAAACGGCGCGCUCUAACAUAGCGCGUUAAUGACGGUACCUGAAGAAGAAGCACCGGCUAACUACGUGCCAGCAGCCGCGGUAAUACGUAGGUGCGAGCGUUAAUCGGAAUUACUGGGCGUAAAGCGUGCGCAGGCGGUUGUGNNNNACAAGGUGUGAAANCCCNGGGCUUACCUGNGNACUCGCUUGUACUGCACGGCNUGAGNAUGCAGAGGGGGUGGANUCCCGUGUACACUGAAAUGCGUNAAGAUGUGNAGGAACCCGANGCNAAGNANCCNCNNGGCCAANCUGACGCUNCCAAACCUGGGAGGAACNGAUANAUCCAGNNAUCCNCCUACANNNANGNNUCGGAAGNACUANUCUCNANUACGGAACUACCNUGGANUGCCAAAUACUAGAUANGNNC